ACCACCAUAACCUGUCCACCGAACCAUGAUGCAACAACAAGAGACGAAGUAUCUUCUGAGCACUCUGGUAAGUAAAUAUCAAGAGCACUAUAUCCAAAUUCCAAGUGUACGUGUGAGCAUCAAUUAAGUUCGCAACUCUGGUAACAUCGCUAACCUUAGGCAAUUCCACCUUGCAAUAUCGAACACUCGACAACUGCGGCAUGUCCUAAAGAGGAAUCGAAGUCCCAU
rnacentral:lncRNA from 1 species